rnacentral:rRNA from 1 species
UAAACUAGGAUUAGAUACCCUAUUAUUUUAUAUGUAAAGUUUUAACCUGGGUAUUAAUAGUUAUGUUCUUUWAACCUAAAGAAUUUGGCGGUGUUUUAGUCUUUUCAGAGGAAUUUGUCCCUUAAUCGAUAGUCCUCGUUUUAUCUUGCUUUAUCUUGUUUUCAGUAUGUAUAUCGCCGUUAUAAGUAUAUUUUUUAAGGAUUAGAAUUUACUUGAUAUUUAGUUUAUAUUAUUUCAGGUCAAGGUGCAGCUGAUGAUUAAGUGGUGGUGAAUUACAAUAUUAUUUAAAUAAAUGGAUUUUUGUUUUAAAAAUUGAAUGAAGGUGGAUUUGUUAGUAAUUAAAACGAUAAUAUUUUUUUGAUUGUGGCUCUAAAAUAAGUACACAUCG